rnacentral:lncRNA from 10 species
CAUCCUUUUCCGCCCUCAUGGAUUGGUGCUAAAAUCAGUCAUCUUCCUGCGAAGGCAUGAGGAGGAAAAGAGAGGAAGUAACUGAGCAGGGUCUGAACUCUGUAGGUCUUCACCACGGCUCAGGAGGAUGAGGAGCAGUGACAGGCCAAACUACGAGAAAAGACAGAGGGAAUCAAACUCAACACUGUGUCUAAACCUCCUCCACCACUGUUGAAGGGAUCCUGGCAUCAGAUGGGGAACAGCUCUAAAUCAAAAUAACCUCACUACUGUGCUUUUCUGUAAAACCAGGUAAAGAUCAGACAAGCAUGAGUUGAAAGGCUAUGUCUCUCUCCAGGCUUUAUUCUGCCAUAGCAGUGACCAGGCGCAGCCAACAGAAACGGAAAGUCAUGGUGUCCAACACGCCUCUCUGUUCCCCAUGCUGAGGUUAAAAGAUGGUUUUUCCUUGCCAUGGAUAAUGUAGAAUUUGACUUUUCUCCUAUUUAUGAGAACAGAAAUAGGCUAAAAAAGAAAGUAAAUGAAGACCAAUUUUGGUACA